CAGUCGCCGCGGUAAUACCGAGGGUGCGAGCGUUAAUCGGAUUUACUGGGCGUAAAGCGUGCGUAGGCGGCUUCUUAAGUCGGAUGUGAAAUCCCUGAGCUUAACUUAGGAAUUGCAUUCGAUACUGGGAAGCUAGAGUAUGGGAGAGGAUGGUAGAAUUCCAGGUGUAGCGGUGAAAUGCGUAGAGAUCUGGAGGAAUACCGAUGGCGAAGGCAGCCAUCUGGCCUAAUACUGACGCUGAGGUACGAAAGCAUGGGGAGCAAACAGGAUUAGAUACCCCAGUAGUCCCUGUCUCUUAUAC
rnacentral:rRNA from 1 species